UGGGUGGGGAUCUCCCCCCGCUCCCCCCCCCAAAAGGAAUAUCUUUAAUAGCCCAAAACAGGAAAAGGGGAAAAAGAGGAGUGAGCAUAAAAAUUAGGAAUUUGCCUCUGACUUCUUAGGUGUUUUUGCUUUCCAAUCUGGAAAAAUCAUAUUUCAUGCACAGCUUUAACUAUUUCUUUUCUUUGUUGCUUAGUAAUAAAUAUGAAAGACUUUUAAGUACAAAAUGAUUACCCAUGUUUUCAAUGGCAGAGUACAGUUUAUUCCCUUCAGGAUUACCUGAAGAUAUGAGGCUUUGUGCCGUUCAUAAGACAGAGACAUCUUUUGUUAACCUGCCCGUCAUUUCUCCGCGAGAUUCGCACGGAGCCUUGCUGAGCAACUACUAAAUGACCCUCAGCUGGCGGCUGUGGUAAAUGCCGCUGGGAACUUCUGCGCAUGCGCAGCACCUUGUCCCAUGAGCACCCCCGCGGGCUCGGCCUGAUCUCCGCUUCUGAAAAACUCCUGAAGAGAUUGAAAAGGAGGAAGCCAGCCACCGCUGUAAAGGCCAAGACUAAAGAGGGAUUUCAGGGUGAAUGGACUGCCCUUCCUCCCAAGUUUUGCUGUUGAGCCCGAGGUCACAGACGCGUCUGAAGGCGCACAGGUGCCCUCCAUGCCUGUGAUGUGGCUCCUUACGGAAGAAGGGAGCAGGAGCGUGCCGCCGGAUGCCGAAGACCCGCCUGCAGCUCCCCCUGCUCUAGCUACCGAAUGGCAGCCACCAUAUUGUGAGCUGACCUAUGGAGAAGCUACAGGGAAUGAAAGAAUGCCACUGACCAACAGCCAGUGAGAAACUGAGGCCCCCAGUCCAACAACCCAUGGGAACCUGAAUCCUGCCAAAAGAAUGAAAUGAAUUUUGCCAUAACCUGAGCGAGCCUGGAAGCAGACUUUUCUCCAGUUGAGCCUCCAGUGGAGAAUGCAGCCUUGCAGAAGACCAGCAAAGCCAUUCCUGGACUUCUUCCCCCAGACACUUUGAGUUAAUGGGUAUUGCUUUACACCACCAAGUCUGUGGCAAUUUGUUAUGCAGCAAAACUAAUACAGUAUUGAAGCCAGGAAACUCAA